GCGGGAAUAGCUCAGCUGGUAGAGCGCAACCUUGCCAAGGUUGAGGUCGCGAGUUCGAGCCUCGUUUCCCGCUCCA
rnacentral:tRNA from 11 species